AACAAAUAACAAAAUAAAAUCUCUACACAUGACCUAUAAGUGUGUAUUCCCAUGAGUGAUUUCUAAGAAAUGGCACUGUACACUGAACGCAGUGGCCCACGUCUGUCAUCCCAGCACUUUGGGAGGCCGAGGUGGGUGGUUCAUGAGGUCAGGAGUUCAAGACCAGCCUAGCCGACAUGGUGAAACCCCGUCUCUACUGAAAAUACGAAACUGAGUCGGGCGCAGUGGGGCAGGCACCUGUAAUCCCAGCUACUUGGGAGGUUGAGGAGGGAGAAUCGCUUGAACCUCGCAGGCGGAAGUUUCAGUGACCCAGGAUGGCGCCACUGCACUACAGCCUGGGCGACAGAGUGAGACUUGGUCUCCAAAUAAAUAAAUCAAGAAAGAAAGAAAGAAAGAAAGAAAGAAAGAAAGAAAGAAGAGAAGAGAAGAGAAGAGAAGAGAAGAGAAGAGAAGAGAAAAGAAAAGAAAAAAAGAAAACCAGAAAAGAAAGAGAAUGAAAGAAAAGUCACUGUAUCGCUACUGGGCUAGGACCUUCCCUCUUUCUGUCUCUUUCUCUCUGUCUCUCUGUUCAUCUCUGUCUUUCUCUAUCUGUCUCUUUCUCUGUCUUUCUGCCUGUCUCUUUCUUUCUCUCUGUCUCUGUCUCUCUCUCUCUGCCUGUCUCACAGUGUCUGUCUUCUAACUCUUUCUCUGCCUGUCUGUCUCUCUCUCUCUGUCUCUCUCUCUCUGCCUGUCUCUCUCACUGUGUCUGUCUUCUGUGUUACUCUUUUUCUGCCGGUCUGUCUCUCUCUUUCUCUCUCUCUCUGUCUCUCUCUCUUUGUUUCUCUCUGUCUCUCUCUGUCCGUCUCUGUCUUUCUCUGUCUGUCUCUUUGUCUGUCUGUCUGUAUCUCUCUUUCUCUGUCUCGCUGUCUCUGUCUCUCUCUCUGCCUGUCUGUCUGUCUGUAGGUCUCUCUCUCUCUCCCUGUCUGUUAUUUUCUCUCUCUCUGUUUGCCUGUCUGUUUCUCUGUCUCUGUCUCUCUGUCUGUCUCUCUCUGCCUGUCUCUCUCUGUGUCUGUCUUCUGUCUUACUGUCUUUCUCUGCCUGUCUGUCUGUCUCUCUCUCUCCUUGUCUGUUUCUCUCUCUCUCUGUCUCUGUUUCUCUCUGUCUCCCUCUGUCUGUCUCUGUCUUUCUCUCUCUGUCUCUUUCUCUCUGUCUGUCUCUCUCUUUCUUUCUCUCUGUCCAUCUGUCUCUGUCUCUGUGUGUGUGUCUGCCUUCUGUCUUACUCUCUUUCUCUGCCUGUCUACCUGUCUGUCUGUCUCUCUCUGUCUGUCUCUCUCUCUUUCUGUCUCUGUCUCUUUCUGUUUCUCUCUGUCUCUGUCCAUCUCUUUCUCUGUCUGUGUCUUUAUCUGUCUGUCUCUCUCUCUCUUUCUGUCUUUCUCUCUUUGUGUAUCUUUGUGUCUCUCUGUCUGUCUCUCUCUGUCUCUGUCUUUGUCUCUCUCUCUCUCUCUCUCACCCGCUCUCUGGCUCUCGCUAUCUCCCGCCCUCUCUUUCUUUGCAAAAUAAGUUCAAGUACAUCUAAUCCAAUCCAUUACCACGACCUGAAUUCUUAACUUUAGACAUCCCAGAUUUGAUCUCCCUGCAGAAUACUGUACAGAACUGGCGAGUUGAUUUCUGGACUUGGAUACCUCAUAGAUACUACAUAUUAAUAAAGAUCCAACCAUAAAAUCUGGGGUUGCGUCUCCCUCGACUGUCUCGAAAAAUCGUACCUCUGUUCCCCUAGGAUGCCGGAAGAGUUUUCUCCAUGUGCAUCUGCCCGUGUCCUAAGUGAUCUGUGACCGAGCCCUGUCCGUUCUGUCUCAAAUAUGUAUGUGCAAACACUUCUCUCCAUUUCCACAACUACCCACGGCCCCUUGUGGAACCACUGGCUCUUUGAAAAAAAUCCCAGAAGUGGUUUUGGCUUUUUGGCUAGGAGGCCUAAGCCUGCUGAGAACUUUCCUGCCCAGGAUCCUGUGUGAACAAAAGUGCCUCUGCUGGGAGCUGGGAUCGUCGGGACCAUGCUUGCUAGCGCUGGAUGAGUCUCUGGAAGGACGCAUGGGACUACUCAAAGCUGACCUGUCCCACCGAGGUCAAAUGGAUACCUCUGCAUUGGCCCGAGGCCUCCA
ensembl:lincRNA